rnacentral:rRNA from 1 species
GACGAACGCUGGCGGCGUGCUUAACACAUGCAAGUCGAACGGAAAGGCCCUGCUUUUGUGGGGUGCUCGAGUGGCGAACGGGUGAGUAACACGUGAGUAACCUGCCCUUGACUUUGGGAUAACUUCAGGAAACUGGGGCUAAUACCGGAUAGGAGCUCCUGCUGCAUGGUGGGGGUUGGAAAGUUUCGGCGGUUGGGGAUGGACUCGCGGCUUAUCAGCUUGUUGGUGGGGUAGUGGCUUACCAAGGCUUUGACGGGUAGCCGGCCUGAGAGGGUGACCGGCCACAUUGGGACUGCGAUACGGCCCAGUCUGCUACGGGAGGCAGCAGUGGGGAAUAUUGCACAAUGGGCGGAAGCCUGAUGCAGCAACGCCGCGUGCGGGAUGACGGCCUUCGGGUUGUAAACCGCUUUCGCCUGUGACGAAGCGUGAGUGACGGUAAUGGGUAAAGAAGCACCGGCUAACUACGUG